AUUGAACGCUGGCGGCAUGCCUAACACAUGCAAGUCGAGCGGAUGAAGGGAGCUUGCUCCUGGAUUCAGCGGCGGACGGGUGAGUAAUGCCUAGGAAUCUGCCUGGUAGUGGGGGAUAACGUCCGGAAACGGGCGCUAAUACCGCAUACGUCCUGAGGGAGAAAGUGGGGGAUCUUCGGACCUCACGCUAUCAUAUGAGCCUAGGUCGGAUUAGCUAGUUGGUUGGGUAAAGGCCUACCAAGGCGACGAUCCGUAACUGGUCUGAGAGGAUGAUCAGUCACACUGGAGCUUGGACGGCGUCCAGACUCCUGAGGGAGGCAGCAGUGGGGAAUAUUGGACAAUGGGCGAAAACCUGGUCCAGCCAUGCCGCGUGUGUGAAGAAGGUCUUCGGAUUGUAAAGCCCUUUAAGUUGGGAGGAAGGGCAGUAAGUUAAUACCUUGCUGUUUUGACGUUAACAACAGAAUAAGCACCGGCUAACUUCGUG
rnacentral:rRNA from 1 species